CACGCUGUAAACGAUGGAUACUAGGUGUGGGAGGUAUCGACCCCUUCCGUGCCGCAGUUAACGCAAUAAGUAUCCCGCCUGGGGAGUACGGCCGCAAGGUUGAAACUCAAAGGAAUUGACGGGGGCCCGCACAAGCAGCGGAGCAUGUGGUUUAAUUCGAAGCAACGCGAAGAACCUUACCAGGACUUGACAUCGUCUGAAUCAUCCGUAAUGGGAAAAAUCCUUCGGGACAGACAGACAGGUGG
rnacentral:rRNA from 1 species